GGGUCGUUAGCUCAGUGGGUAGAGCAGUUGACUUUUAAUCAAUUGGUCGCAGGUUCGAAUCCUGCACGACCCACCA
rnacentral:tRNA from 1 species